UUAGCGUUUAUCCACUUUCCACAUUUAAAAAAGGUGUGACAAGAUGAAGAAAGCGCAAACUCUAGAAGAUGGACUUGCAAGAGCACUAAUGCAGAAGAAGAUUGCGAAAAAAGUUAUCUCGUCGGUCGAGAGCAAUAAACAUAAUGAUUCUUCAGAAAAGAUUAUGGCAGAGAGACCUAAAUCAGCAGCAGCAGAUCAUAUAACGUCGUCGAAAAAAGCUUGUAUUUGCGCACCAACAAACCACGCAGGCUCAUUCAGAUGCCACCUCCACCGAACCAAGAAUAUCGUGUCGUGCACUUUACAACAAGACAGAGACGACGACAACAACAAGAAGAGUAACGGUCGUGAGAAAAGCAGUGUCCGUACAAUUGGUGAUGGCCAGGCCAGGCCAGGCCAUUGACAAUGGCCUCAUCAAAGCCUGAGAAAGUCAAGUGAGGAGUUUUUGGUCUUUUGGGGUUCUCCAUCCCCUUGUAAAUAUAAGAAUUAAUCUCCCUCGUUUUUUAGCUAUUGGAAAUCAAUCCUUGGAAGAGUAUGUUCCU